AUUGAACGCUGGCGGCAGGCUUAACACAUGCAAGUCGAGCGGGGUGAUGGUGCUUGCACCAUCACUUAGCGGCGGACGGGUGAGUAAUGCUUAGGAAUCUGCCUAUUAGUGGGGGACAACAUCUCGAAAGGGAUGCUAAUACCGCAUACGUCCUACGGGAGAAAGCAGGGGAUCACUUGUGACCUUGCGCUAAUAGAUGAGCCUAAGUCGGAUUAGCUAGUUGGUGGGGUAAAGGCCUACCAAGGCGACGAUCUGUAGCGGGUCUGAGAGGAUGAUCCGCCACACUGGGACUGAGACACGGCCCAGACUCCUACGGGAGGCAGCAGUGGGGAAUAUUGGACAAUGGGGGGAACCCUGAUCCAGCCAUGCCGCGUGUGUGAAGAAGGCCUUAUGGUUGUAAAGCACUUUAAGCGAGGAGGAGGCUCUUUUGGUUAAUACCUAAGAUGAGUGGACGUUACUCGCAGAAUAAGCACCGGCUAACUCUGUGCCAGCCGCCGCAGUAA
rnacentral:rRNA from 1 species